GAGUUCCGAUCUGUGUCUGAUUUAUGAGGCUGUUACUGUGAUUGGAUGAUAAUCAUCCUCCUUCAAAUACAAACCUUCGCUUUGUUGUGAACUUAAUUUAACUUUUUCAACUGACUCUUAAGAGGCUGUUGACUCACCUUUAUGUCAAACUCAGCCUCUUCACUUCACAGCUCGAGGACGAAGAAGGAAGAAGACGAAGGUGAAUGUGACCUUGAUUCAUUAUUAUCACAUUUUUAAUCACAUUAAUCUGUCUUCAUCCUCGUGGUAUUAUUAUUCAUCUUACUAACCAUCUUGUGUCUCUCCUCUUGUCCUACUCGGCCGCCUGUAGGAUCAGAGGACCAGUCGAGCUGCUGCCCUUCACUGCAGGUGACGACGAUCCAAUAGGAUCCGAGGACAGCAGGUGCAGAACAUUCAGAGUUUCCAUGAAGAAGAAGUGUUGAGAUCCGACCUGCAGGAGGAGCAGACAGAGACUCAUCGUUCCUGCAGGACAUCCAGGGUUACCGCGACGACAAUGAAACAAACGGCAACUGCAGAGCGGAUCAUUUUUAGAGCGACGACCACAAUACGAGCUGCAGAGAGAAACUGAGCUGUGUUUUCAUCGUCAA